rnacentral:lncRNA from 1 species
GAGAGAGAGAGAGAGAGAGAGAGAGAAGCGUGGCGCCAAAACGAAAAAUAACCGACCGACUUGUGGUUAUUCUCCGCGAUCGGAAGAUACGUGUCCGCUCCCCCCCUUCGUCAAGCCGGCGGCCCAUGAUAUUCACCGCCGACCGUCGAGCGUCCCGACGAGUCCAUCCCUCCGAGGCCACACCCUUCCUUUCCAGCGGUCGUGAUCUUUUAAACAAAGCCAAUCAGGUGAUUGCUAUGCCGGAUUUCUAAUCCGACCGUUGGAUCGAUGUAGUUUCACUCUCAGACCGUGGACUGAUUGGGCCA